CCGCCGGCCGCGGAGGGAGCACCCGCGGAGCCGGGGACAGGCCUGCGCAGCCAGGGGCCUUGCGGAGCCGAGUCUCACAGGCUGCUACUUCCUGGUCAGAGGCAGCGCUUAGUCUAAAGCUCCUGCCGCCAAAAUAAAGGGGUCCGUCCGCCCUGGAGUCCGGAGGAGAAAGGACGGGGGCUACGGGGUGCCGCGUGGGCCAAGCCGCGCCGCCCGCCGCCCGCCGCCCGCCGCCGCCGCGAGCGCACCUGCCCCGGAGCCCGCCGCCAGCUCGGGGUGUGGCUCGGGCCAUGUGCGGAGCCAGAGCUCGGAAAUGGGGAACCGGGGGAGCGGGAGUGCAAACCAUUGAGCCAGAAGGCACGUGGGGGAAAGGGGAAGCGCGCGGGGCCGAGGACUCCUGGGGUGCGCCGCGACUCGGCUCCCCGCCCGGGGCGGACCGCGAUUCCUUCCCGGUGCUACAUCCUCGGGGCUUCGAAGGUUACUAAUUAUUGACAAAGAGGGGGAAAAAACCCUUUACAGUAAAGAAAUCUGUUACCAUCUCAACCAGUGGUCAACAGCAUCAGCAAUAAUGAGACAACUGAUACGGUGCCUCCUGGUCCAAUGCCCUGAGGAGGACACAUCCCUGCUGCUCAGCACUGCUCAGCACUGCUGCCCACACUGUGCUCCCUGACUAUCCGGGGCAGGUAGAAAACCCACCCUGACAGACAAAACAACCAGCUUGUGCUCUAAAUACGCAUCAGUGCCUGGAAGGACACAGAAAAGUUGGGAACUACUCCAGCCUUUGAAGAUGGAGGAAGGCGCCCCCAGCCAAUGGAUGCUGGAGGUCCCCAGAAGCAGGAUCAACAAGGAGGCCAUCCUCCCCCAGGGCCUUCAGAAGGAAGGCAGCCCUGCCAAUACCUUGAUUUUAGAACUUGACCUCCAGUACUGUAAGAUAAUAAAUCUGUGUUGUUAUAAGCCACAACAUUUGUGGCAAUAUGUUCCAAAGGGGGAGGAAAUAGGCAUGGUGGGCCACUAGAAGCAGAAGUGAUGCUAAGGCACAUCGCCUGGUUGUGCUCCUAUUACUUUUUCAGAGCCACCCUCUAGUCAAAGUAUUUUUGAGUAUUGACUCAGCCAUCCAAUAAAUUUACUAUUUCUCCCA